GACGAACGCUGGCGGCGUGCCUAACACAUGCAAGUCGAGCGAGUGAAUCUCCUUCGGGAGUGAAGCUAGCGGCGGACGGGUGAGUAACACGUGGGCAACCUGCCUCAUAGAGGGGAAUAGCCUUCCGAAAGGAAGAUUAAUACCGCAUAAGAUUGUAGCUUCGCAUGAAGUAGCAAUUAAAGGAGCAAUCCGCUAUGAGAUGGGCCCGCGGCGCAUUAGCUAGUUGGUGAGGUAACGGCUCACCAAGGCGACGAUGCGUAGCCGACCUGAGAGGGUGAUCGGCCACAUUGGGACUGAGACACGGCCCAGACUCCUACGGGAGGCAGCAGUGGGGAAUAUUGCACAAUGGGGGAAACCCUGAUGCAGCAACGCCGCGUGAGUGAUGACGGCCUUCGGGUUGUAAAGCUCUGUCUUCAGGGACGAUAAUGACGGUACCUGAGGAGGAAGCCACGGCUAACUACGUGCCAGCAGCCGCGGUAAUACGUAGGUGGCGAGCGUUGUCCGGAUUUACUGGGCGUAAAGGGAGCGUAGGCGGACUUUUAAGUGAGAUGUGAAAUACCCGGGCUCAACUUGGGUGCUGCAUUUCAAACUGGAAGUCUAGAGUGCAGGAGAGGAGAAUGGAAUUCCUAGUGUAGCGGUGAAAUGCGUAGAGAUUAGGAAGAACACCAGUGGCGAAGGCGAUUCUCUGGACUGUAACUGACGCUGAGGCUCGAAAGCGUGGGGAGCAAACAGGAUUAGAUACCCCGGUAGUCCACGCCGUAAACGAUGAAUACUAGGUGUAGGGGUUGUCAUGACCUCUGUGCCGCCGCUAACGCAUUAAGUAUUCCGCCUGGGGAGUACGGUCGCAAGAUUAAAACUCAAAGGAAUUGACGGGGGCCCGCACAAGCAGCGGAGCAUGUGGUUUAAUUCGAAGCAACGCGAAGAACCUUACCUAGACUUGACAUCUCCUGCAUUACCCUUAAUCGGGGAAGUUCCUUCGGGAACAGGAAGACAGGUGGUGCAUGGUUGUCGUCAGCUCGUGUCGUGAGAUGUUGGGUUAAGUCCCGCAACGAGCGCAACCCUUAUUGUUAGUUGCUACCAUUUAGUUGAGCACUCUAGCGAGACUGCCCGGGUUAACCGGGAGGAAGGUGGGGAUGACGUCAAAUCAUCAUGCCCCUUAUGUCUAGGGCUACACACGUGCUACAAUGGCAAGUACAAAGAGAAGCAAGACCGCGAGGUGGAGCAAAACUCAAAAACUUGUCUCAGUUCGGAUUGUAGGCUGAAACUCGCCUACAUGAAGCUGGAGUUGCUAGUAAUCGCGAAUCAGCAUGUCGCGGUGAAUACGUUCCCGGGCCUUGUACACACCGCCCGUCACACCAUGAGAGUUGGCAAUACCCAAAGUGCGUGAUCUGACUCGCAAGAGAGGAAGCGCCCUAAGGUAGGGUCAGCGAUUGGGGUG
rnacentral:rRNA from 1 species